rnacentral:rRNA from 1 species
AACGAACGCUGGCGGCAUGCCUAACACAUGCAAGUCGAACGAGACCUUCGGGUCUAGUGGCGCACGGGUGCGUAACGCGUGGGAACCUGCCCUUAGGUUCGGAAUAACUCCCCGAAAGGGGUGCUAAUACCGGAUAAUGUCUUCGGACCAAAGAUUUAUCGCCUUUGGAUGGGCCCGCGUUGGAUUAGCUAGUUGGUAGGGUAAAAGCCUAUCAAGGCGACGAUCCAUAGCUGGUCUGAGAGGAUGAUCAGCCACACUGGGACUGAGACACGGCCCAGACUCCUACGGGAGGCAGCAGUGGGGAAUAUUGGACAAGGGGCGAAAGCCUGAUCCAGCAAUGCCGCGUGAGUGAUGAAGGCCUUAGGGUUGUAAAGCUCUUUUACCCGGGAUGAUAAUGACAGUACCGGGAGAAUAAGCUCCGGCUAACUCCGUG